rnacentral:tRNA from 1 species
CGAGGUAUAGCUCACUGGUAGAGCAUGCGCUCGGCGUGCACGGGGUCCUAGGUUCAAUCCCCAGUGCCUCCA